GUGCAGCAGGCGCGAAAACUCCGCAAUGCGCGAAAGCGUGACGGGGUCACCCCGAGUGCCGUCCGCUGAGGAUGGCUUUUCUCCGGUGUAGUAAGCCGGAGGAAUAAGGAGAGGGCAAGUCUGGUGUCAGCCGCCGCGGUAAUACCAGCUCUCCGAGUGGUAGGGACGAUUAUUGGGCCUAAAGCGUCCGUAGCCGGCCAAGCAAGUUUCCCGUUAAAUCCAGCGAUCCAAUUGUUGGACUGCGGGAAAUACUGUUUGGCUAGGGGGCGAGAGAGGCCAACGGUAUUCCCGGGGUAGGGGUGAAAUCCCAUAAGCCCGGGAGGACCACCAGUGGCGAAGGCUGUUGGCUAGAACGCGCUCGACGGUGAGGGACGAAAGCUGGGGGAGCGAACCGGAUUAGAUACCCGCGUAGUCC
rnacentral:rRNA from 1 species